AGUGAACGCUGGCGGUAUGCCUAACACAUGCAAGUCGAACGGCAGCACAGUAAGAGCUUGCUCUUACGGGUGGCGAGUGGCGGACGGGUGAGGAAUACAUCGGAAUCUACUUUUUCGUGGGGGAUAACGUAGGGAAACUUACGCUAAUACCGCAUACGACCUACGGGUGAAAGCCGGGGAUCUUCGGACCUUGCGCGAUUGAAUGAGCCGAUGUCGGAUUAGCUAGUUGGCGGGGUAAAGGCCCACCAAGGCGACGAACCGUAGCUGGUCUGAGAGGAUGAUCAGCCACACUGGAGCUGAGACACGGUCCAGACUCCUACGGGAGGCAGCAGUGGGGAAUAUUGGACGAUGGGCGCAAGCCUGAUCCAGCCAUACCGCGUGGGUGAAGAAGGCCUUCGGGUUGUAAAGCCCUUUUGUUGGGAAAGAAAAGCAGCAGGUUAAUACCCCGCUGUUCUGACGGUACCCAAAGAAUAAGCACCGGCUAACUUCGUG
rnacentral:rRNA from 1 species